GAGAGAGCGCGAAGUAGAGGAGGAGGCGAUUUCAUCGGCUGUGAUGGUGAUUUCCAGGCUGCGGAGCCCCAACGGCGGUUUUGUUCCUCUCCCGGUCGAUCUCGUUGGUUCGUAUUUAUCUGUGUUGUCUGUCGUUUGGUCUCUCUCAUUUCGUCUCUUUGGAUCUGAGCAAUUUGGUCGGCGGAAGCCUCGAGAUGGUGAUUUCCCGGCUACGGAGCCCCCACGGCGGACUUCUUUGCUGGUCAGCUACUUCAUCUCCUGUGAGAUGCUUCAGCUUGUCUGCUUGCGCUAUGUUUGGUUGCGAUUUCCCCUUUUUCAGUCGUGGAGUCUACAGUUUUCAAGUCGGCAGUGUUCUUCGGCAGUGACGUGCUUGAGCUUGUCUCGCGCUAGGUGUACUGCUCCCUCUCCGGUUCUGAAUCAUGGAUGAUGAUGAAAAUAUAUUUUUAUGAUAAUGAAUCUGUUCAUGGCAAUGAAGAAAGUGAGUUUGAACUGAAUUAUGAAGAAGAUAACUUAGAGAUAAGACAAUGGCAAGGUAACUUAUAUAAAGUGUCUUUUACAUCUUUCUAAUUUUUUUUUAAAAAAAUUGUUUAAAAAUUCUUGCUUUGAAUGUUGUUGUUUCUGUUUAAGCCGUAUGUUCAUCAGAAGAUGAAAUUGAUGAUGAUAAGCUUUUCAAGAGUUUCAAAAUUUUGAGAUAGGUAUGUGUAUCUAUUUCUUAGUUUAAUAUGCAGCUAGUUUAAGAUAUGUUUAGUUUUAAAUUUGUAGUUGUGAAAAUAAACCUUUAUGAAAAUAUAGAUACAAGAUUAGUUAAAUUGACUGAUAUGUUUUGUUUUAAAUUUGUAGAUGUCAAAAUCAAUUGAGUCUAAUAUUGGACAUCCAGGUUUACGGUAUCACAAUAAAGUUGAAACAAGGAUUUUCAAAGGAAUUUCUACAGCUGGUUGCAGUAAAGCUGUUAGUAGGUGCAAUCAUUCAUACUUUAGGGACAUUGUUUUGUCUCUAGACCAGCAUAGGAGAGUUGUUGUGGAUGAGUAUGGGUUUGCUAUUCUUCUUGAAUAUGAUGGUUGUCUUGUUCCUAAAAACUUUGUUCAAUGGAUAGCAGAUCAAGUUGAUGUCAACUGUUUAGAUAUUCAUCUUGAUGAUAAGAUCAUUCCUGUUUCUCCUUUAUCUAUCUAUAAGGCCUUGGGUCUCCCAAUAGGUGAUCGAGAUAUUAGAGAAACUGGAGAAUCUGGUAAAGCUGAUUUUCUGACAAAAAUCGAAGAAACUAACAUUUCUCUGAUAAAGUCAUUUGGGUCCAAGAUACUAUCAAAAGAGGAGAUGGCUGAUGAUCAAUUCUUUCGAUAUUUUAUGGUUGUGGCAUUGUCGACAUUUUUGUGUCCCAAUUCGAGCACAAAACCAAGUCCAAAGUACUUCAGUCCAUUGAUUGAUGUUGCCAUUGCAAGGGAAUGGGACUAGUCAAAAUUUGUGUAUGAAAGAUUAUUCAAUUAUAUCAAGAAGUACAGGAAUAAGAAGAGAAAAACUUUGGAUGGUUAUAUAUACUUCCUUGUUGUAUGUGUUCUAUUGAUCCUUUGUAUUUUAAAAUUUGUGUAUGUGUUGUUUAGUAUUUUUGUUAUUAGUAAUUUUUUAUUUCUGUUAUCUUAUCAUAUUAUAAUCAACAUUAAUUGUUGUUCAUUACUGGUUUUAUUGUAGUUGUACUAUCUUGAUUUCCUUCAAUUUGGGUCUCAAAUGCAAGUAAUUCCUCCUAUUCUGCCAAGAAUAAGAGUUUGAAAAGGUUCAAUGAUCAAGAAAUAUAGCUCUUAUGAUCGUGUUUCUCAAAAUACUUUUGGGAAGCGUCCAGUUAAGUCCAUUGAGGAUACUUGUUAUGCUCCUGUUUUACCCAUUGAUCAAGUUGCUUUCUUUUAGGGAUUCCCUGAAUUCAAGAUUUGGAUACUUAUCAGAUAAUGUAAG